UUAAGUUAAUAAGGGCGCACGGUGGAUGCCUUGGCACUAGAAGCCGAUGAAGGACGUGACUAACGACGAAAUGCUUUGGGGAGCUGUAAGUGAGCAAUGAUCCAGAGAUGUCCGAAUGGGGGAACCCGGCAGGUAAUGCCUGUCACUCAUUACUGUUAAGGUAAUGUAGAGGAAGACGCAGUGAACUGAAACAUCUAAGUAGCUGCAGGAAGAGAAAGCAAAAGCGAUUGCCUUAGUAGCGGCGAGCGAAACGGCAAGAGGGCAAACCGAAGAGUUUACUCUUCGGGGUUGUAGGACUGCAACGUGGACUUAAAGAUUAUAGAAGAACUACCUGGGAAGGUAGGCCAAAGAGAGUAAUAGCCUCGUAUUCGAAAUAGUCUUUAUACCUAGCAGUAUCCUGAGUACGGCGAGACACGAGAAAUCUCGUCGGAAUCUGGGAGGACCAUCUCCCAACCCUAAAUACUCUCUAGUGACCGAUAGUGAACCAGUACCGUGAGGGAAAGGUGAAAAGCACCCCGGGAGGGGAGUGAAAUAGAACCUGAAACCGUGUGCCUACAACAAGUUCGAGCCCGUUAAUGGGUGAGAGCGUGCCUUUUGUAGAAUGAACCGGCGAGUUACGAUAUGAUGCGAGGUUAAGUUGAAGAGACGGAGCCGUAGGGAAACCGAGUCUGAAUAGGGCGACUUAGUAUCAUGAUGUAGACCCGAAACCUAGUGACCUAUCCAUGAGCAGGGUGAAGGUGUGGUAAGACGCACUGGAGGCCCGAACCAGGACACGUUGAAAAGUGUUUGGAUGACUUGUGGAUAGCGGAGAAAUUCCAAACGAACUUGGAGAUAGCUGGUUCUCUCCGAAAUAGCUUUAGGGCUAGCGUCGAUGUUAAGUCUCUUGGAGGUAGAGCACUGUUUGGGUGAGGGGUCCAUCCCGGAUUACCAAUCUCAGAUAAACUCCGAAUGCCAACGAGAUAUAAUCGGCAGUCAGACUGCGAGUGCUAAGAUCCGUAGUCGAAAGGGAAACAGCCCAGACCACCAGCUAAGGUCCCAAAAUAUAUGUUAAGUGGAAAAGGAUGUGGGGUUGCACAGACAACUAGGAUGUUAGCUUAGAAGCAGCUAUUCAUUCAAAGAGUGCGUAAUAGCUCACUAGUCGAGUGACCCUGCGCCGAAAAUGUACCGGGGCUAAAACAUAUUACCGAAGCUGUGGAUACCUUUAUAGGUAUGGUAGGAGAGCGUUCUAUGUGCGAAGAAGGUGUACCGUGAGGAGUGCUGGAGCGCAUAGAAGUGAGAAUGCCGGUAUGAGUAGCGAAAGACAGGUGAGAAUCCUGUCCACCGUAAGACUAAGGUUUCCAGGGGAAGGCUCGUCCGCCCUGGGUUAGUCGGGACCUAAGGAGAGACCGAAAGGUGUAUCCGAUGGACAACAGGUUGAUAUUCCUGUACUAGAGUAUAUAGUGAUGGAGGGACGCAGUAGGCUAACUAAACCAGACGAUUGGAAGUGUCUGGCCAAGCAGUGAGGUGUGAUAUGAGUCAAAUGCUUAUAUCUAUAACAUUGAGCUGUGAUGGGGAGCGAAGUUUAGUAGCGAAGUUAGUGAUGUCACACUGCCGAGAAAAGCUUCUAGCGUUAAUUAUACUCUACCCGUACCGCAAACCGACACAGGUAGUCGAGGCGAGUAGCCUCAGGUGAGCGAGAGAACUCUCGUUAAGGAACUCGGCAAAAUGGCCCCGUAACUUCGGGAGAAGGGGCGCUGACUUAUGGUCAGCCGCAGUGAAUAGGCCCAAGCAACUGUUUAUCAAAAACACAGCUCUCUGCUAAAUCGUAAGAUGAUGUAUAGGGGGUGACGCCUGCCCGGUGCUGGAAGGUUAAGAGGAGUGCUUAGCAAUAGCGAAGGUAUGAAUUGAAGCCCCAGUAAACGGCGGCCGUAACUAUAACGGUCCUAAGGUAGCGAAAUUCCUUGUCGGGUAAGUUCCGACCCGCACGAAAGGCGUAAUGAUUUGGGCACUGUCUCAACAAUGCACCCGGUGAAAUUGAAAUACCAGUGAAGAUGCUGGUUACCCGCGCCAGGACGGAAAGACCCCAUGGAGCUUUACUCCAGCCUGAUACUGGGAUUCGGUAUUGCAUGUACAGGAUAGGUGGGAGGCUGAGAACUCAUGGCGCCAGCCGUGAGGGAGCCGGUGUUGGGAUACCACCCCUGCAGUACUGGGUUUCUAACCUGCGCCCGUGACCCGGGCGGGGGACAAUGUCAGGCGGGGAGUUUGACUGGGGCGGUCGCCUCCGAAAGGGUAUCGGAGGCGCUCAAAGGUCUCCUCAGGAUGGUUGGAAACCAUCCAGAGAGUGCAAAGGCAGAAGGAGGCUUGACUGCGACACCGACGGGUGGAGCAGGUACGAAAGUAGGACUUAGUGAUC
rnacentral:rRNA from 1 species